CUCCCUCCCCGGAGCCAGCGGCAGCGCGGCACCUCCGCACGGCAGCGACCCAGCAGGGACCCUGUGGGGGCAGGGUCCUGUCCUGUCUGCCCGGUCCUGUCCGGCCCUGGCGCUGCUUUGGUGCUGAGCCCCCCGCGUCACGUAGCAGCCACCGCAGAGCAGGCAGGGGCCGGAGAAGGGACUCUGCUGCCCGCAGCGCCGCUCCAGGGAGCCAGGGUGGACCCUCCUCAUGGCAGCCAGGCCCCCGCAUAACACCAGCCAAACUGGACACCCCGGUCCCACGAGAGACCCUCCCCAGCCAGAACCAACCCUUCUGCCACCUGCAGCCCAGCCCGGACUCUCCUGUCCCUGCCUGUCCCCACACCA
rnacentral:lncRNA from 1 species